UAGUUGAUGGGGUAAUGGCCUACCAAGCCUGCGAUCUGUAGCUGGUCUGAGAGGACGAUCAGCCACACUGGGACUGAGACACGGCCCAGACUCCUACGGGAGGCAGCAGUGGGGAAUCUUGCGCAAUGGGCGAAAGCCUGACGCAGCCAUGCCGCGUGAGUGAAGAAGGUCUUAGGAUUGUAAAGCUCUUUCGCUCGUGACGAUGAUGACGGUAACGAGAGAAGAAGCCCCGGCUAACUUCGUGCCAGCAGCCGCGGUAAUACGAAGGGGGCUAGCGUUGUUCGGAAUUACUGGGCGUAAAGCGCGCGUAGGCGGUUUUGCAAGCCAGAGGUGAAAUGCCUGAGCUCAACUCAGGAAUGGCCUUUGGGACUGCGAGGCUUUGAGGACUGGAGAGGUGAGUGGAAUUCCCAGUGUAGAGGUGAAAUUCGUAGAUAUUGGGAAGAACACCGGUGGCGAAGGCGGCUCACUGGCCAGUUUCUGACGCUGUAGCGCGAAAGCGUGGGGAUCAAACAGGAUUAGAUACCCUGGUAGUCCACGCCGUAAACGAUGAGUGCUAGGCGUCGGCAUGCAUGCAUGUCGGUGCCGCAGCUAACGCGUGAAGCACUCCGCCUGGGGAGUACGGUCGCAAGAUUAAAACUCAAAGGAAUUGACG
rnacentral:rRNA from 1 species